UCCUUUUCGACUUCUUUUUCUUACCUGUCAGGAUGUACUUGUAGUCGUGGGGUCAUAAGGUCGGAGAGUCGCAGUCCCGAGGUACCGCAUUAGGACACUCAACGACAUCCCAGGUUGUUAGUCGAGAUAGUCGGUAGUACGUCAUAGGGUAAGCAAGACGAACUCCGACCAUUAACCGCCUGACCUAGGACCCGAACCGAACGCCCGUCGUUAGGUCGUAAACCGGAUGCCAG
rnacentral:lncRNA from 1 species